CGACUAUUUAAUAAGUUGAGUUGGGGUAUGAAUUGGAAUUGAAGUGAGAUAGUUUCGAGGACGAAACUCUUUUAAGGAGGGGAGGAUGUAAGGUACCGGACUUCUAAAAUUAUGAAGUUACGGCGUACAUUUAGUUGGAAAGCCAUUUGAAUGGUCCGGUAAGGUUGCGGUGGAAUGUAAUAUACCGGAUUUUAAAUAUAAAAAUAAAAAUAAAUAAAAAUAGUGUGAGAUACUAUUUUUAUUGGAUUUAGAGGAGUAAAACAUAAGUCAGAAGUGACUUGUGCUGAAAUCAGAAUGAAAACAGAAGAUCUAGAAUUUUCUGUUGGAGACGGGACAGAAAAAUAAGCAGAAAAUAUACAGUCUCAGAAAAUUAUGAAAAUUGGCGAAGAUGUUAGAAAUAUUUUUAUGAGGCUAGAUUUAGAGUUUCAUAUUUUUCUGACACCUGUAGAGUGAGAAAUAAAAUCCGAGGGUUAUCUGAUAAAGAUUACAGUUCGGCACAGUUUUCGGUGACCAAAUGGGGUCGAAACUGAAAACUUAAAAUAUAUUCUUACUCAGUACAUAAAACCGAACAUGACUGUGAAGUUUGAGCUCAAACGGAUGUUCAGGGAGUUCCGGCGAAAGAUAUCAGAUUUCGAACUGCCCGGGAGUGAAUAGUGUUGUGGUGUUGACUAAAGAGGAGUGUUGGCUCCUUUUGUUCUCCUUCAGCCGCACACACACCACACACACACACGCGCGCAUGGAGGGGGAGGGAAACCCUCCCUUCUCUCUCUAGAGAUCUCUCUCAUCUCUCUAAAUCUCUCUCUAAAAAUUGGAGGGUUGGUGGAGAUGAUGCUUGCGAACGCAUUGGGAGCGACGGAUCGAGCUUUUGCGCGGCCGUUGGAGCGGCGUGUUCUCGUCGUGGCGUUCACAUUGAGGUAAGCUUUUGGGAUUUGGCUUAAUCCUUAAUGCUUAGUGUUCUAAUAGCCUCUAAUGAGUAUUCUAAACAUGUUUGCUCCAUUUGAUUUGGAUUAUUUAGACGUUAAUUGCAUGUUAGGGCUCCGAAUGGGGUUUUGUAAAAUAUGGGGGUUUGAUCUAAUUUGACUCUUCGUAAACCUAAUUGCUAGGUAAACGAACGCGUUGGCGAAGUCGGUUCGGCGAUUCGUCGAUCCGUUGUAAAGUUAUUAAAGAAACAGACGUUUAGGCUUCGUUUCCGCCUGGAGGGCCGAGGCGACAUCGUAAACCCACGAAAACGGAUUUGAAGCACCGUGGCACAUAACCGAAGACCUUUAAUUUUC
rnacentral:lncRNA from 1 species